rnacentral:rRNA from 1 species
GGAUCGCCCUUAGAGUUUGAUCAUGGCUCAGAUUGAACGCUGGCGGCAGGCCUAACACAUGCAAGUCGAGCGGAUGAGUGGAGCUUGCUCCAUGAUUCAGCGGCGGACGGGUGAGUAAUGCCUAGGAAUCUGCCUGGUAGUGGGGGACAACGUUUCGAAAGGAACGCUAAUACCGCAUACGUCCUACGGGAGAAAGUGGGGGAUCUUCGGACCUCACGCUAUCAGAUGAGCCUAGGUCGGAUUAGCUAGUUGGUGAGGUAAAGGCUCACCAAGGCGACGAUCCGUAACUGGUCUGAGAGGAUGAUCAGUCACACUGGAACUGAGACACGGUCCAGACUCCUACGGGAGGCAGCAGUGGGGAAUAUUGGACAAUGGGCGAAAGCCUGAUCCAGCCAUGCCGCGUGUGUGAAGAAGGUCUUCGGAUUGUAAAGCACUUUAAGUUGGGAGGAAGGGCAGUAAGUUAAUACCUUGCUGUUUUGACGUUACCAACAGAAUAAGCACCGGCUAACUUCGUGCCAGCAGCCGCGGUAAUACGAAGGGUGCAAGCGUUAAUCGGAAUUACUGGGCGUAAAGCGCGCGUAGGUGGUUCGUUAAGUUGGAUGUGAAAGCCCCGGGCUCAACCUGGGAACUGCAUCCAAAACUGGCGAGCUAGAGUAUGGCAGAGGGUGGUGGAAUUUCCUGUGUAGCGGUGAAAUGCGUAGAUAUAGGAAGGAACACCAGUGGCGAAGGCGACCACCUGGGCUAAUACU